rnacentral:rRNA from 1 species
UAGGGAAUCUUCCGCAAUGGACGCAAGUCUGACGGAGCAACGCCGCGUGAGUGAAGAAGGAUUUCGGUUCGUAAAACUCUGUUGUUAGAGAAGAACAGCGCAUAGAGUAACUGUUAUGCGUGUGACGGUAUCUAACCAGAAAGCCACGGCUAACUACGUGCCAGCAGCCGCGGUAAUACGUAGGUGGCAAGCGUUGUCCGGAUUUAUUGGGCGUAAAGCGAGCGCAGGCGGUCAAUUAAGUCUGAUGUGAAAGCCCCCGGCUCAACCGGGGAGGGUCAUUGGAAACUGGUUGACUUGAGUGCAGAAGAGGAGAGUGGAAUUCCAUGUGUAGCGGUGAAAUGCGUAGAUAUUAGGAGGAAUACCUGUGGCGAAGGCGACUUACUGGACACAAAUCUGACGCUGAUGUGCGAAAGCGUGGGGAUCAAACAGG